rnacentral:piRNA from 1 species
UCGAAGCCAUGAUGCACUCGUGAUCAC